rnacentral:tRNA from 1 species
GGGGGUGUAGCUCAGUGGUGGAGUGCAUGCUUAGCAUGCACGAGGUCCUAGGUUCAAGGCCAGUACCUCCU